CAGUCGCCGCGGUAAUACGUAGGUGGCAAGCGUUGUCCGGAAUUAUUGGGCGUAAAGGGCUCGCAGGCGGUUUCUUAAGUCUGAUGUGAAAGCCCCCGGCUCAACCGGGGAGGGUCAUUGGAAACUGGGAAGCUUGAGUGCAGAAGAGGAGAGUGGAAUUCCACGUGUAGCGGUGAAAUGCGUAGAGAUGUGGAGGAACACCAGUGGCGAAGGCGACUCUCUGGUCUGUAACUGACGCUGAGGAGCGAAAGCGUGGGGAGCGAACAGGAUUAGAUACCCGUGUAGUCCCUGUCUCUUAUAC
rnacentral:rRNA from 1 species